rnacentral:rRNA from 1 species
AGGCGAUGAAGGACGUGAUACGCUGCGAAAAGCCGUGGGGAGCUGCGAAUAAGCUUUGAUCCAUGGAUCUCCGAAUGGGGCAACCCACCUUAAAUACCUAGAAAAUCUGAAUUGUUGACUGGUUUAUCUCUUCCAUCGAGCUUUCGAGGGACGAGGGAUCGAAGCCCGUUUGGGCUUCGCAAGGCCAAGGGCCGUCGCCGCUGAUGCGGCGUAGGUUCGGCAGUCUGGUGGCUGGUGAAACACUUCAGGUUUCUAGGUAUUGUAACAAGGUAUCUUCACCUGAAUAAAAUAGGGUGUAAGAAGCGAACGCAGGGAACUGAAACAUCUAAGUACCUGCAGGAAAGGACAUCAACCGAG